UAUAUUCUUCAGAGGUCUGCCCACUAUGAUAAAUUGUACAGUGCAAGGAAAAAUUAAAACGGAAAUGAAAAAUGAAGAAGUUGGUUAUACCAGAAAUCACUGAAGCUGAACCGCUUCCUGAAGAGCACUGAAUUUUCUAUACCAGAUUCUACUUCAGUGGCCAGGACCUUUAUGGCCACUGAUUCUUUUGCUCUGGGUUCUGAAAAAACAUCGUGGAUCCAUCCCUAAAGUAGAAAUGUUCUUUUCCAUCCCGCAAGCAAGGCUAAAGAUUGGAGGAGAAUGAAUGUGAAUCUAAUUCAGGAUUGCGGUCGUGCCAUUAAAAGUUUUCAGCUUCAGAACAAAAUGAUUUGGGAAAUAUGAUCCGUUUUCUUACUCUAUCAACAAUGUUUAAAAGUUGUAGGAGGUUCAAGUGACUUGACUCAAAUAACAACAAUCUUUGCAUGUCAAUAAUGUCUACAGUUUAAGGAGUGAAAGAUAGUUUUGAGUUUGGAAAAGAAGAAGCUGUUAAUAUGAGCCUGUAAUGGGAUUAAAUGUUGAUGCCCGAAAGUUAUCCUUGCACUGAGGAUGGGUUUAAAGUGCUGUAUAUCCUAGGGCCCACCUUACUGUAGAGGUAUAAUGGGGAAAUAUUUCAAUUAGAAACCCAUUAACAAGCAUUUAAUCCUUCUUUAAGGCAUUAGAGGAAAUAGAAUAAAACAUUUACUGUUCAAAUCUGCUGCAAGCAGACUUUAACCCAUUUAUAGACUUAUCCUUCUGAUGUAUUGUACUAUGGCUACUCAUGAGUCAGAAUAGUAAAGAUUUUAUUUGUACUCCUUUUUUCCAAAGUUGUGGAAUCUAUUCUAAGAAGUGUCUUGAUCAAUCAGCUGAUAUUAUUGUUUUGAAUGUAUGUGUGUAUAUUGCCUACUUAUUUGAUCUUUUCCAACCCCUACUUGAAAAGGUGGGUUUUUUAUAAAACAGCAACAAAAGUUUUACUGAAUGUAAUCUUGACGACUAAGUGAUUCAGAUUAUUUGAAGAAGAAUUCUACUGGAUCAUAUCGGACUUUUCCUAGUCCCUGAGACCCUAACUUGUGAGGUUUUUUAGCAACAAUCACAAGUCAGGCUCUUGGGACCUAGGCGGAGGGGAACCAGCAGCUUUGGACUUUAUUGAUUGUUUAUCUGCAAUAUUAACAGAACCAAAGGAGAUUUUUUUAUCUGGGGGAAAAUAUUUAUUUCAGAUGUUAAGCAUUAGUGUUAUGCUACAAAAAAAUUGCUGCUAUGUAUUGUACAAUAUAAAGAUUCUACAUAAUUUGUAUGUUUGGAAACCUAUAUUGUAGUGGAUAACAUGUAACAUUUCGAAUUAAAAUUUAAAAUGAAUGACAGAUAUCUACAUAAAAAAAUCAAGUACUGAAGGAUAAAUGCACUGUUUUCAACCAUAAUUUGCUAUUAUGGAUCCUUCUGGUGGAUAAUAAGACAAAACACAUUUCCAAAUGUAUUGCUAUAAUAUUUAAUGAACUUUUUGAAACUUUACAAAUUAUACAUUGAUCUGUGAGGCCUAGCAAAUGCAUUCAUACUGUUGUCUUUGGGGUAAUAAUCUGAGCGUGCAAGAAAACUGUUGCUUCUUUUCCUGUAAGGCAGUGCAGAGAUUCCUUUAUAGUUGUUACUAUUUCUCUCAGUCUAUAUAAUAAUACAAUACAGGUUCUCAUUUGGUAUAUUAACCCCUUACUCUGAAAGAAAAGAGAAAGCUGGUGUCAAACUCAUAAUGCUGUGUUGAAGUCACUUUGCACACAGAACUACAUACUUUUCAUCUACUUACUGUAUCCCAGCAGAGAAGACCGGACACCAGGAAUUAGGCUCAAACUUUAGUCUCUUCCCUCACUUUUUACUUUUCACUUAUACAACAGACUAACUGUUGUGUUGUCCCCAUAUGCUGAAUACUUCAAUGACUUCAGCAUAAGAUUUACCAGGACACAGCUACAUUGUAAUGUCUAUCACUCCUAAAGUGCUGAACCAGAACACA